ACAAAAAGUAAGCACUUUCAGAGCCCGACCCUUCAAGGAGCUGCUGCUGCAGAAGGAGCCCUGUCCCCGGAAGCUCGCUGUCACGAGGGGCCUCUGACAUCUCCUUCUUGAGAGAAAGGUCGCCUGGCCUGGGUGAGGUCGUAGUUCCCGCGACCCCGUGCUUGCAAGUACUGGCUGCCUCCUACUAUAGUGUAAGCUCCAGGAAGGAUCCCGCGGGGGACCUGACAGCUCACGGUCCUGGCCGACAACCGCCCUGGGAGCGGAAUGGAUGGAGCCCGCAGUCGUCCCGGCGCACUGGGCAAGCUCUGCUCCCACUGUGGCAGGCCAGAUCUCCAUUAGCAACCAGAGCAGCUCUCACCAACGCCUCACUGUCAUUCUGAUGCAUGUAUAAGUUAAACAUUGGAGAAACUGGUGCCUUAGGAGAAAGGCUAGAAUGUAAAGACAAGUCCAUUAGGAUCCCGCCUGAGCUUUUUCAACCCCUAGAGUUU
rnacentral:lncRNA from 10 species